rnacentral:misc_RNA from 1 species
AAAAAAAUAGUACUUAUGUUCUUGGAAAGAUUGUGCCACCCUUCAGGCCUUAAAAAGUCUAACAAACAGCAGAGGAACACUGAGAUGGUUGCUAGAAUCUUGCCUUAUCUGACUUAUGGUGAACCUGAUGCAAUGGAAGCACUUAUUCAGCACUUCAACCCAUACCUGCAAGAUUGGAUGGACUUUGACCAGUUGCAGAAACAUCAUGAAGACAACCCAAAAGAUGAGAACAUUGCUCAAAAAGCAGCUGAGCAGAGGUUUACUGUGGAAAAUUUUGUUAGAGUAUCUGAAUCACUCAAGACAAGUUCCUGUGGGGAACGGUUGAAGGACAUCAUCUUAGAGAAAGGUAUCACAGAUGUUGCUAUCAAACAUCUAAGGGAGAGUUUUGCCGUCGCAGGGCAGGCUGGGUUUAAAUCUAGAGCAGAAUGGUUGUCAGGUUUGAAAUUGCCGUCUGUCCCACAUAUAUUGUCUAUGCUUAGGGGAUUGUCAAUGGGGCACUUGGCCACUCAGAGAUGUAUUGAUGAGGGAGGGAUCUUAGCACUGCUCCAUGCUUUGGAAGGAGUUGCUGGAGAAAAUGAGAUUGGUGCUAGAGCUGAAAACUUGUUAGAUACACUAUCUAACAAGGAAGGAAAAGGAGAUGGGUUUUUGGAAGACAAAGUGCGCAAAUUGCGCCAUGCCACUAGGGAUGAAAUGCGGCGUCGGGCUUUGAGGAGGAGAGAGGAGUUACUUAAGGGUCUUGGAAUGCGACAAGAACUGGCUUCAGAUGGUGGUGAGAGAAUUGUUGUUGCUCAGCCAAUCCUGGAAGGUUUGGAAGAUGUAGAGGAGGAGGAAGAUGGGUUGGCAUGCAUGGUAUGCAGAGAGGGAUAUAGCCUGAGACCUACCGACUUACUGGGAGUUUACUCAUACAGCAAGCGUGUGAAUCUAGGUGUUGGCACUUCAGGGAGUGCUCGUGGGGAGUGUGUUUACACCACUGUCAGUUAUUUCAAUAUUAUUCAUUUCCAAUGUCAUCAGGAAGCCAAAAGAGCAGAUGCUGCUCUGAGGAACCCUAAGAAAGAGUGGGAGGGUGCUACACUCAGAAACAAUGAAUCUCUAUGCAAUUCCUUAUUCCCUGUUAGAGGACCAUCUGUUCCACUAGCACAGUAUAUCCGCUAUGUAGACCAAUACUGGGAUAACCUCAGUGGCCUAGGACGUGCUGAUGGGAGCCGGCUCCGGCUGUUGACUUAUGACAUUGUUUUGAUGCUAGCUCGAUUUGCAACGGGGGCAUCAUUUAGUGCAGAAAGUAGAGGUGGUGGAAGGGAAAGCAACUCUCGUUUCCUACCUUUUAUGAUCCAAAUGGCUCGUCACCUGCUUGAACAAGGAAGCCCAUCCCAGCGCCGCAGCAUGGCCAAGGCUGUGUCAUCAUAUAUGUCCUCAUCCUCGUUGGAUUCCAGACCUACUCCAGCGACACAUCCUGCUCCAGGAACUGAAGAAACUGUCCAAUUUAUGAUGGUGAAUUCACUUCUGUCCGACUCUUACGAGUCAUGGUUGCAAC